UUCUUUUAGUCCUCCAUGGGUGAUUGAUGAGAGAGAUCUUCAGGAGUUCCCGUAAUCUGUCCACAGUCUAAAGCUCCUUCUGAACUUAAGAAUUUCAGAAAAUUCAACAGAAGUUUACAGUAAUAUGCUAGUGCUGACAGCAGGGCUGAGUAUCUGUAUUCUAAGCUGACAUCAUGUCAAGCAGAUAAACAAGACACGUCGUCAUCAUAGCAUUUUGGGAGGCAGAGAGGAAGCAUCCUUGUAAUACAACAUCCAAUGGCUAGACCAUUUUUCCAAAGCAGGUUUUUCUGAAUUUGGAAGGGAAUACAGAAGUGUCCAGCUCUGAAGCCUCAGUUGCACUGCGACUGAAUAGAUUGACGUUUUCACCUCCCUCCUUUGCUGGGUGUUCUUCUUUUUUUU